GUGGAGGAGGACGCCGAAGGUGGGGCUAAUGACUGGGGUGAAGUCGUAACAAGGUAGCCGUACCGGAAGGUGCGGCUGGAUCACCUCCUAACAGGGAGACAACAAAAUGUUUAAUAUUAUUAUUUUGUCACCUUAGGUCGAUCGGUAUCUCACGUUUUUAAUUUAUUAAGAAUUUCAUUUCCUAAGUUUUUCUAGGUCACACCCAUUAUUUUUCCUGGGCCAUUAGCUCAGGUGGUUAGAGCGCACCCCUGAUAAGGGUGAGGUCCCUGGUUCAAGUCCAGGAUGGCCCAUAUCUCUAUGUUGGGGGUAUAGCUCAGUUGGUAGAGCGCCUGCUUUGCAAGCAGGAUGUCAGCGGUUCGAGUCCGCUUACCUCCACUGAUUACCACCUCUUCCAUAACCGGUAGAAAGGAAAUGUUUUGAGUUGUGAUCAAAUUCUGAAAGAAUUCAGCUUCCUAAUGAAAUCAUUAAGAUGCUGGACUCAUUGAAUUAAUUUCAUUGUUUUCAGAGAACCUUGACAACUGCAUAGAUUAUUUUUAAAGACAAUAAGCAUCUUUAAUGAUGCAGAUUUAUUAUUUGUGCGAAUGCAUUAAUAACAAUUCUAUUAAGCUGAUGCUUCAAUUUUUGAAGUUAUUGGUCAAGCUACAAAGGGCUCACGGAGGA
rnacentral:misc_RNA from 1 species